rnacentral:rRNA from 1 species
UACGGGGGGGGUAAGCGUUGUUCGGAAUUGACUGGGCGUAAAGGGCUCGUAGGCGGCCAACUAAGUCAUAACGUGAAAUCCCUCAGCUUAACUGGGGAACUGCGUGAUGAUACUGGAUGGCUUGGAUUUGGGAGAGGGAUGCGGAAUUCCGGGUGUAGCGGUGGGAAUGCGUAGAGAUCCGGAGGAAGACCGGUGGCGAAGGCGGCCUGCUGGGCAGUUACUGACACCUGAGGCGCGACGAGCGUGGGGAGCAAACAGGG